AUUGAACGCUGGCGGAAUGCUUUACACAUGCAAGUCGAACGGCAGCACGGGGGCAACCCUGGUGGCGAGUGGCGAACGGGUGAGUAAUACAUCGGAACGUGCCCGGUCGUGGGGGAUAACGUAGCGAAAGUUACGCUAAUACCGCAUACGAUCUGAGGAUGAAAGCGGGGGACCUUCGGGCCUCGCGCGAUCGGAGCGGCCGAUGUCAGAUUAGGUAGUUGGUGGGGUAAAGGCCUACCAAGCCGAUGAUCUGUAGCUGGUCUGAGAGGACGACCAGCCACACUGGGACUGAGACACGGCCCAGACUCCUACGGGAGGCAGCAGUGGGGAAUUUUGGACAAUGGGCGCAAGCCUGAUCCAGCCAUUCCGCGUGCAGGACGAAGGCCUUCGGGUUGUAAACUGCUUUUGUAUGGAACGAAAAGGCUCUGGCUAAUACCUGGGGCUCAUGACGGUACCGUAAGAAUAAGCACCGGCUAACUACGUG
rnacentral:rRNA from 1 species